CACUGAGCAUGCCCGGGCUUGGGGCCAGCGGGCGGCCGUUGGGACAGCGGCCCUGCAGCGAGGCGGGGGGCGCCGAGACCGCGGCGGGGCCGUGGCAGCCUCCAACGACCCCUCGGGCCCCCCUCGCGGUGGUCUCCCCGCGGUUUGGGAAGAGGCUGUGGAGGUCUCCCGUGGCAGACCUCCCGUUUCUUGCAGUGGAUGUGCCUAACAAUAUACCUUUUCUGUUUUUUUUAUUUUUUUUAAGUGGUAGAUGUGUGAGAACACGCACCACCAAGUCGCUGGAAAUGUCAGCAAAAGCAGCAUAGCUUUUUGCAGUGACAGGGGGAGCGGAGAGUAAGAAAUGUGGUCAGUGCAACUGCUUCUGUUUUCAAGAGCUGGAAGAUCUGCAGAGUUUGAAGCAGGAAUCAGAAGUUGUUCAGAAAGAUAGCUUGUAAGGCUAGAAAGGAGAAAGGGUUUAUAUAUAUAUAUAUAUAAUCUCAGUAGAAUAUUGUUCAAAAAUUUGAUCCAAUUCUGGCCAUUUGAAACUUAAUUUUUGAAGAUUUGCUGUUAAUGACUGUGAACGUCAGCGCUGAGCUUCUCUUCUCUGGUUUUCCGUGCAGUAUGGGGAACCGUGAGGGUCUUGGCCCCGUGUGCCUACCCUGCAGGGUCACAGCUUCAGCCAGGGGCACUUUAGGCCUACAGCAGCAUUUCUCGAGCUUCUGAACAAUGAGCCCCUCCCAUUCAGUAAAAUGAAGUUAAUCCAACCAUUUUCCCAGACGGAUUAUGGACUACAGGCCCACUGUCCUAAUUUAUAUCUGUUCUUUGCACCUCAGGUAAUUUCGGGAAGCGUGAAACUAUCUGCUUAUGCCCAGAACAGACAUCUGUGAUGGAAACCAGGAAUAUUCACUGAUUUCAUCUGUUCUCUUUUCUAAUUACCUCUAGUAAUUAUGAAAAUACUACAUCCAUCUCUAAUACUAAAGUAUUCCUUAACUAAGCAAUAAAAGUGUUCCAGCCUGGAUGGAAGCUGAGGAUACAAAUCCAAAGAUGUAUACAUUCAUAUGGGAACUGUGUCAGUUGCCAUGUUAGGAGUCAACUUCUUUUGAAGGCGGCCCUGACCUUGAUGACUGAAACAACGUGCUGAAAGUAAUGUGCUCCUUUAGCCUCCCACAUAAACAGUCAUUGUAGAAGGCCUUGACAGAAUUUCUUACAUGGAAUGCAAUGUGCUGGGAGUGAAGUAUGCUGCUUUCUGUUUAAUUCAUCCAACAGAGGCUGUACAUGACAUAGAGGUAAGGCAGAUAUUACAGUCUGGCUCCCGUUCUCAACUUCUGAGAGGCCAAGAAAGAGCAAAUGGCUGUCAGACACGACAAAAAUACCAAGGGACACCUGCUAUGCAAGUGCUGGCACCAGCUGCAGCUACUUCACUUGCCUGUGAGAACUGGGAAGGUAGUCUGUGAGGGAAACCUGUAGUUACUAUUUCAUGUAAAAUCUUUUGUAGUUUUGUGUAACUUUCACUUGCAUAGAGUUUUUGAUUGGUACAGUGUGUGUGUGGGAAACUAGUGACACAGGUAAUUUUUAUGUGAUCCCUGGCCUUGUGGGCUACUGCUCAAACCUACUGCAUAAAGUAGGGCACCCUGCCCACAGAGGAGCAGGCUGCUGCUGAAUCUUUGCGGGUUCUGGGCAUCAGGGGCCCUGGAGUAGGUUGUCAGUUGGACACACUUGCUACUGGGGAUGGGAGGGACCCGUGAUGGAUAGAUAGGUGUGAAGGGAUGCGAUGAAAGCAGGACAUGCCUUUGCAGACACACCCAAUAUUGCAUGAUAAGGCACCAGUGUUGGGGUCUGUUUAGGACAAUGAAUGCCUCUUUGCACACCCAAGACCAGACUGUGUGUGCAUGUCCUGAAGCUGCUGAAGCUCACAGUAUAUUGGGAAACUGGGCUGCCUAGGCAGAAGAAGUUACCCACAGAGGCUCAGCAGAAAAGUCUACUACCCUAGGAAGCAUCCCAAGGAUGUUAUAACAGUAACAGUGCAGUGCAGUUUCAUAGUUCAUAAUAUGUUAGGGUGAGGUCAGAUGUGCAGCUGUAGAGACUGAGGGAGAUGGGUUGGGUGAAACCUUGCUCAAUUUUUUUCAAUAUGAUCUUUUGUGGAAUAGACAGACUAUUCCUUUAUCUCUGUCUGUGGCCACUGGAGCUCAGUUUUUCACAGCUGGCAACAAAAUAGCAGCCAGUAAGACCUAUGUCAAAGUAUGUGUAGUGCAGGUUAAAUGGCACAGGUAUUAAAAGUGUGGAACCAGCUGCUGGGAUGGGUCUGGAGCGUGGUGAAGACAACAGGCCUGGGCACUGCUGGAGGUGAGGCAGAGACAGAGCAUCCCAGUUAAUGUUAGAUUGCUCUGUUAAUUAAAUGCCCAAGACCUGGCUAUAUUCCCAGAACACAAGGGAAAACAGCUAUACUGGACAAGGUCCCAUGGAGUAAAUGUCUUAGCUGGACCAAUGACAGUCUUGAUCCUGGAUAUGUCUUGAGGCUAUAUAGGAACUGGAGUUCCUGGAUACCAGUAGCUCAGCUGUUCUCAAAGGUUUCCUCUCUGUAGCAGUGUGCUCUUUGUCUGUGGAUUCUUCCCUUUCCUUAGUGGAGAAGAAAUUGAUUCAAAUAUGGGAAAGGACCAUAAUCUGCACUGAACGUAAGAAUUACAUCUCCGUUCCUCUCCAGGAUGUGAUCCAGCUUCGGGAGGUUGCUGGAGGGCACGCUACCAAAACUGGAGCUGUCAUUGACAUUCAUAGUCAGAGACUGCCUCCUGCAUUGCUCCAGGUUCCCUUAGCAGUGGUCCUGAAACAUUCAGUGAGCAGAGGUGUAGCAAAGCGCCUCACUGUGCGAUUGCCAGGAGAGAUUGCUUUGCCAUCCUGCCUGCUGGCUCCCAUUUGAGUCUCACUGCACUGAGCUACAUCCAGUGGAAUGCUGCUUAUGGCAAGUCUGGCUCUGCUCUAGGUGCUGGGGUUGGGUUCUGCUGUGAUGGCAAUGCUGGAGUAUGAAAUGUGGUACCUGUGGUUCAGGAAAGGGCCUGAGGGAAAGCAGAAGAACCCAGUCCCAGGGAGGGCAUCCAAGGCAAAAGGCUGAUGCAGAGUGGCAUGCAAAGUGUGACAGAGAGCAAGCUGGCUGUGGUAAGGCUCCAGGAAGAAACAACAUAGUCCAAGCCUGCAUUUACAGGAGAGCAGCACCGUCCAGGUGCCAGGAUCUCAAGACUCAAGGAGUGGGAAAGGAAUGAGGAGGGUCCCGAAAGAACCUGUGGGUGGUCUGGGGAAUUCUGAAAUAGGCAGCUACUACUUGAUCUGAUACAAAGUUAGUUUGUCAAAAUGUUUGAAACAUUUUUUAAGGGACAGAAUGCUGUUAAUUAGAUCAGUAGUUUGCCUUUCCUGGCUGCAAUGAUUUUGGUGUGCUGCUUCAAGACCCUAUGUCAUCUUUAGGGUAUAUAGGGUAUAUAGUCAAACCUAGUUUAGGAUAAUGGGAAAGGGUAGAAUUUUACUGUCUUAUUGAGUCACAAAUUUGUUGAUAGGUCACUUGGGUACAGAAGAUAACAGCUAGUCUGCUAAAAAGACACUUAUAUCUCCAAGGAAAUAAAAAAGUCUUUAAGAAGUCAAGUGUAGAAAUACCUUCUGAAUAAGUCAGAAAUAAAGAAGCUUAAAAGAGGAAAGAUUGAAUCUGCAUGGGAACCCCUGGAGGAUUAGAAGAAAGGGCUUAUGUGUAAAAGCUUGCGUGAGACAUAAGGAAGAGGCUCUGCAGAUGCAGUCUAAGCUAUUAUGGUAUGCAGAAAACUGCAACCACAGGAAAUAGGAGGGAGACUUUAUAUUUGAUCUUGGUGUAAAAAGCUUAAGUGCUUGUAACUUUGUCAGUUUUGGAUGCUGUAUAAAGAAAUCCUUUUGUUUGGAUUGUAAACAGUUUGAGAGUUAAAUGUGAUUUCACUGGUAACUUAACUCCAAGGCUGUGGAGAAGCUAAACCACAGUGUACUGGCAUGCCCAGCAUUCCAGCACAGACUAAAUGCAUUGAAGCUGUACAGAACAGUUCAAGAGAGCACGUUGCAAAAAUCAAAAAAAAACCCAAAAGAUAUUUUCUGGUGACAGUAAGGAAGCUGCUGUGGCAUGAUAAAACUUUGGGAAACACACUGAACCACAGGAAUGUUAAGGGAGCUUGUGGCAGAGACCAAGCACAAGCUACACUUUGAUCAAAUAAGUUAGUUAGUAUGGAAUAAAAUUUAAGGGUCCAGGAUAAAAAAGUUAAGUGACCUGAAAGUCAUUUCUGGUCUUAAAUGCAAAAUUUUCAAGUCUGUUAAGUGAGUAUAAAUGCUAUCAAUUUAGAACAGCAUUUACGUAUGAAUUGGAAGUAUCCAUUAAUAUGAAAUACCCAUUCAAUUUGCAAAGGAGUAAAUGACUAUAUGAAGUGCAGGGCAAUGAAAUAUUACAUUUCACAGCUUUAUAAAGAGACUCUUUUAGAACUCUAUUAUAUUUUUGUGUCACCUGAGAGGUUUAAGUGUUGAUAGAUUCUCAUGGAUUCUUCCAAGAAAGGGUUGUGGUGCUAAAAUCCCCUUAGCUAGGCAGAACUUCAUUUUAUUAUUGAGUUGGUUUACAGAGGCACCCCCUCACAGCCAUCAAGUUUAUUCACAGAUUUCCUAAUCCACCCAAAACAAGAUAGCAUGUUCUCUGCUUCCAGCAUUUCAGGACGUUUCAGAAGUGACACUGAACAUUAUCAGUUGCUCAGUACUUCAGUGACAAUAACAGCUGAAGGGGUUUCUGCCCUCACUUCCUGCCCAUGACUGCUCAUUUCUCACCCCACACUUCUCUUCUUCCCCCAGUUGUACCAGCAUAGGUGUUCAUGGAGCUCCCCUGUGGGCUAGGACAGUGAACUGAUCCAGAUUUAAAGCAAUUUUAUGUCACUGUGUGACACUGCUUACCCAAGCUCUUUAAUUUGAUGCAAGUCCAAAGCUGCCUGCUCUCCAGCCUCAUGUGCUGUCCCCAGUUGCUUGUUCCCACUACCUCCAUGCUGACUUGUGUAUGUGAAGCCAUGUCAGGAGCUGUGCAAGGGAACCCAUUCAUCUGAAAAAUAACCUGGCAAAAAUACCAGAAAACAUUGGGCAUGGCAUGGAGAUUGAGUGUUAUACUGGUCUUUUGGGUGGCAAAAUGGGUUUUUGCCUGAUUAAAGUUGCUGAGAAAUAGGAUGUCAUGCCAUGGUCUGGGACUGAGGGUCAGGAACACUUUAAACCCCUAAGGCUCCAACUGUUGUCUCCGAAGUUCUGUGUUGUGAAACUACCGCCAGAGCUUCCUAUCCUGGCUUCAAAACAGCUAAGAAAUAGGGUACUAAUACCCUUAAUAAGAGCACGUGUGCUCUGCUUUGAACAUCUGAGGAUGGUCACCUCAAAGGGGUGUACGAAAGCUAGGUCUUCCAACAGUUUUUCCAUUUGAAGAAGACAGUCUUGAAAUCUAGGCUAGUUCAGAACUCCUGGAUUCUGCCUUCAAAUUUAACAUCUGGUUUGAGGAUACAUCUGGUUUCACGCUUUAUGUUUGAUCAGAAACAUCCAGGUGGUGAGUGCCUCCUCAUGGUGGAGACUUCUCUGCAAGGAAGGGAAUAGGAUUCUGUGCCAAAACUCCCACUAAACUUUGUCCAGGAACUUUUUAUGCAGUAAAAAUGUAUCAGAAUUUAAAGAAAGCUGCUCUGAAACUUCAGGAGCUUGAACAAGCUCCAUUAUUCUCUUAAGCAGCUCUGCAGUUUGUGUCAAAAAGCAAUCCUUUGAGGUCCCAUGCAUAUUUUUUCUGUUUUAAAUUUGUUUAACAAUACCAACAUCAUUGAAGUUUGUUCUGAUAUUUUGAGAUGAUGGCUUUAUUUGUAUAAUGAAUUUUAAAAUAAGAUGACCAUCUUUACCUUUGGUUGUGGAUAACACUUACCUUUGAUUGUUGAGAAGUUUAAGAUUUUACUGACGUUGUUUCAAAAUUAUUCUCUAAUCUACAACGUUAAUUGGUCAACACAGUCCAUUUCUGAGGUUUAGAGGAAGCUGAAAUUGAGGCCUUUUUGGGCUCUUUUUAUGGAACCCAGGUGUUACUGAUAGUUACUUGAUUUCCCUGGUCUCAGUCACCGUACAUCAUCCAAUCCGUGGUAUUAAUAGUCUAGCAGUGAACACUAGAGAAUAAUAUUAGCUAGAAAAUAUUAACUAGAAGACAUUUAGUUUUAUAUAUUUUCUUAGUCAAAGGCUGGGGACAAGUGUCCACCCUGUAUACAUUAUUUAAACUUUAAAUCAUUUUUGAAGUAAUUGACAAUACAGAGUUUCUACUAGUUCCAAAUUUAAUGACAUUGCAUGAGAAUGUAAACAAGGAUAACAGUAUGAUAUCUACUACUUGAAGGGGUUUUUUUUAAUUCUGUAAACUGUUCUUUACUGAGUAGUAAACUUUAUAGUCUUGGCUUUAAUGAGAAGGUCAUUAAGUGUAAGAAUAUUAAAUUAGCCAAUGCAGAAUUGCUUCCUUUGGCUGCUGUAGGCCUGCCUGUGCUCACCCUGAAUUUUUGUGUGCCUCGGACAAUAGAUAACCAGCUGGCACUGAGAUUCCAUGGAAACUACGUGCUAUAUUUCCUUUGGCUCCUUCGAAAAUCUCAUGCCUUCUGUCUUUAUUCUUCUGCUGCUGUUGCUAUGCUGCCAACUAGAAAGUAGGAUCAGGGCAAUUGGGAACAAAAUUUUAUAUGAGAAGAUCUUGUUCUUAGGAAUUGAUUGCCCAUUGGAAAAAGGGAUGAAUCAAUAUUAUUUAAUCUCCAUUCCUGUGCUCUGUGGGAAAUUAAUGAAACAAGUAUUUGUGAGAUUAUCUGGAGGGAAGUGGUAUUUCUAGAGGUAAUAGUUUGCCAACUAUAAGAACAAAUUACAUUCUUUUCACUUACAUGUAAGCAACAAUGACUUAAUCAUAACUAUAAUGUUAAAUGGA